UACGUAGGGGCCUAGCGUUGUCCGGAAUUAUUGGGCGUAAAGAGCUCGUAGGCGGUUCGGCAAGUCGGAUGUGAAAUCUCCACGCUUAACGUGGAGGGGCCAUUCGAAACUGCUGUGACUCGAGUCCGGUAGGGGAGUGUGGAAUUCCCGGUGUAGCGGUGAAAUGCGCAGAUAUCGGGAGGAACACCAGUAGCGAAGGCGGCACUCUGGGCCAGAACUGACGCUGAGGAGCGAAAGCGUGGGGAGCGAACAGG
rnacentral:rRNA from 1 species